rnacentral:rRNA from 1 species
UGAGCAACCUGCCGGUUGGUGGGGGAUAACCCAUGGAAACGUGGGCUAAUACCGCAUUCGCUCUUCUUCCUGAUGGGGGGAGGAGGAAAGGUGCUGCAAGGCAUCGCCGACCGAGGGGCUCGCGGCGUAUCAGCUAGUUGGUGGGGUAACGGCGCACCAAGGCGACGACGGGUAGCUGGUCUGAGAGGAUGGCCAGCCACAUUGGGACUGAGAGACGGCCCAG